ensembl:lncRNA
AUGAGAUGCAGCAAUACCAGCUGCUCUCACAACCACCCCCUCGGCUGUGCUGACGACACCUCACCUCGGAAGUGCGUUUGGCCCUCGUCCCCUGCGCGCACCUCAGGGCUUCGCGCCUCAAGGGCCCGCAAGUCCAGGCGGAAGCGGAAGGAGAGGGUGCAGAACACGCCCCCCCACAACGCUCUAGCCGGAAGUGACGCAACACGCACUGAACUCGUGUCGUUGCAGAGAGGGGGAGUCGCAGACUGCGACUGCAGGAGGCUGCAUAGCAGAGCCGUAGCCGAAUCACACAGAAGGCUUUUCAGCAAAUGCAUGUGCCAGUGGUUCUCACAGCAAGGUCCCUGGGCCGGGAGCACCNNNNNNNNNNNNNNNNNNNNNNNNNNNNNNNNNNNNNNNNNNNNNNNNNNNNNNNNNNNNNNNNNNNNNNNNNNNNNNNNNNNNNNNNNNNNNNNNNNNGCAUGUGCCAGUGGUUCUCACAGCAAGGUCCCUGGGCCGGGAGCACCAGCAGCGCCUGGGAUUUGUUAGAGAUGCACACUUUCUGACCCUGCCUCACAGGUCCUGAGUCAGGAAUGCUGGGAAUGAGCCCAGCAGUCUGUUUUCCGGCGCUCCCGGUGAGUCUGACACACGCUGAAGGUUUCAGAACCACAAGUACGGUCCUUCUGCCUCUGCAUUAGUUUACUUGACUGCAUAGACUGGGCGGGGAUGCUAAUAACCAAUCUGACACUUGCUCCUCCUUGUCUUUCUUGGAUUGUUUUCAGAUUAUUUAACGUUUUCUGCUGAUUCAAGCUCUCCACAGGAAAGAGUAAAACGAGGUGAAAUGAUGUUGCAUUAAAAACAUUCUAAAAAGAGGUUCACCAAGCUAUUGAUUUGAUACAAAAAGAGAAACGGAGAGUUCUUGAGAAAAGUCACUUUAGUGGCACAGAGGAGAAAGUGGUUAAAUUGGGAGCCUCUUCCCUAAUCCCAGUGAGAGUUUAGCACAAAUGACACUUCAAAAAUUCUACCAUUUUCACAAUGAAUACUGUUUUAAUGUAGCUAUUCCUGCCCCCAACCCUUUUAACUAAAACUUAUUUCCUAAUUCAGCUGUUUUGUUUUCCUAACCUGAAGAUCUGGGAAACAGUGAAGCAAUUUUGGUCCAGAAAUUAGGCACUUGUUAGGUGCAGAAGUUUCUGUGCUGAAAGACCUCAAAAUAUUGAAAGCUACAAAACAAAAACCGAUGCCGGCUGGGCAGCUGAAACCAAUUAUGCAGGAAAUUUGGCAUCUGAAGUAAACAGUACAUCUGAAUACUUGGAAUGAUUCUCAAUUAUAUUUAAGUAGUUUUCCUUUUUUCCAGUUGUACAGUCCUCCUCCUAAUCCCCCUCCCCAGGCUGUACUCAUGCAUUUUUGCUUGAAAAUGAUUUCAGUUGUUUUCCAUUUUAUCUUUUGUCUCUGCCAUUUUUCUUUGCUUCCUCAUUUCAUGAUUUUUUCCUUUCCUUACAAGGCACUCACACAGCAUGUGACGCCUCUACAAAUGACGGGAUUUUUCUUCCUAUCCUUGAAGUGACAGCUUGUCUUUCCUCUCCAGCGUCUUUGUCGCAUUGCCUGAUAAACUGUUUAUUUUUCCUAACAGCUUUCCUUUUUCGCCUGAAAAACAAACAUUAACCAAAAAGUCCUUGUUUCACGAGUGACCCUUUCUAUGCAAUCCCUGGUGCUGGAGCGCCCCCUGCUGCAUAAAUGGGAAGUAGCCUGCCUUUUGUCAUCCUGCCUUUGGUCCCCAGAGGACGAGAAACUUGAACUUGGGUGGCCAUGCUUUCAUCCCAGCUGCAGAUUCUUCAGAGUAAUACUCAGUGUAAUCUUCUUGGCGCAGUUCUCCCCUAAUCUGCAGAAGCCACAUGAUCGCCAGCAGCUCUCCAGCUAUCACACCACAGGAUGAUAGGACUAUACUUUUCCCCACUAUCUGCUCAGUACUUACUAGUAAUACGCAUGCCCCACAUUGAAGAGAAUGGCCAACAAGCGGGGUGGGACCCUUCCCUCAGAACCAGCUAAUGAUAUGGAACCUACGCCCUCAUAAGGCAGGGAGCCCAGAUGAUUCCAAAGGUCCUUCUUAUAAUAAACAACUCAGCUUUUUAUGGG